GGGAAGGAGGAAUUUUGGCUCAAGACUGAAACAUAGGAAUUCUGCCUGUGUUUCCAGCCUGCCAGACUGCCCCAGAAACUUCAGACUCAAGUUUGUGACAUCAGCUCUUACCUGAGUUUCCAGCUGCUGGCCGGCCCUAAGGUUUCAGACUUGCCAGCUGCAGCAAUCAUGGGAGCCAAUUUCCUAAAAUAAAUCUCUUAACAUAAAUAUCUUAUUGGUUCUGUUUCUCUGGAGAACCCAGACUGACACAGGGGCUGCGGCAGACACAUACCUUCAGCAAUAUCUAAAGGGAGGGCUGCUCCGGGGACAGUGGACCAAAGGAAACACCCUUGUUGGCUGUAAAGUCUGAAUGGGGCUGUUCUGCUUCACCAGGUUCUAUGACAGAAAAUGAACUCAAAUCCCAGGCUUCAGGCAAAGGGUGGUAACUACAGCAGCAAACAUGUCUGGCAGUGCGCAAAUACGUUAAGUAUAUUGUCUCAUGUCAUUAAAAAAAAGACUUUAUUUUUUAAAGCAGUUUUAGAUUUACAGGAAAAUUGAUCGGAAAGUACACAGCUCCCAUAUACCAAACCCCCUGCCUCCAUUUUUCCUUGAGAUUAACACCCUGCAUGAGUGUGCUACAUUUAUUGCAAACAAUGAACCAAGCUUGAAAAUUACUUUUAACAAAAGUCCAAGUUUAUGUGAGUGUUUAUUCCCUGUGUUGUAUGGUUCUAGGGGUUUUGACAAUGGCAUUAAUACAGUAUCACGCAGAAUACUUUUCCUGGCCUAAAACUCCCUGCUGCUCCACCUGUUCAUUUCUCUCCCCUAUUUAUUUAAUUUUCAAAACAAUAUUAUGAGGUGAAAUUUAAAAAAUUCUUUAAUUUAUAAAAUUGAUACAAUAAUUGUAUUUAUGGAGUACAUAGUAAUGUUUUGAAACAUGUAUAGUGAUGAAAUAGAAUAAUUAGCAUAUCCAUCAUCUCAAACAUUUAUCAUUUCUUUGUGUUGGGAAUAGUCAAAGUCCUCUUGAGGUGGGAGAAUCACUUGAACCUGGGAAGCAGAGAUUGCAUUGAGCCGAGAUCGCGCCACUGCACUCCAGGCUGGGCAACAGAGCAAGACUCUGUCUCAAAUAUAUGUAUAUGUGUAUAUAUAUAUACACACACAUAUAUACAUAUAUACACACAUAUAUACAUAUAUGUAUACAUACACAUAUACGUAUACAUGUAUACAUACACAUAUACGUAUACAUGUAUACAUAUAUACGUAUAUGUGUAUAUGUAUAUAUACACACAUAUAUACAUAUAUACACAUAUAUACAUAUAUACACAUAUAUACAUAUAUACGCAUAUAUACAUAUAUACGCAUAUAUACACAUAUAUGUUUUAUAUAUAUAUAUAUAAAACAAAUUAUUGUUAACUAUAGUCAGCCUACAGUGCUAUGGAAUAUUAGAACUUAUUCUUCCUAGCUAGCUGCAAUUUUAUAUCAUUUAACCAAUCUCUCCCUAGUCCUGCCUCCCUGCUACCUUUCCCAGCCUCUAGUGUCCAUUUACAGGUGAAUAGAUAAAGAAAAUGCAGUGUGCAUACAUAGUGGAAUACUACUCAGCCACAAAAAGUAUGAGAUCCUGUCAUUCACAGCAAAAUGGAUGAACCUGGAGACAUUACUUUAAGUGAAAUGAGUCAGGCAUAGGAAGAUAAAUACCACAUCUUCUCACUUAUAUGUGGAGGCUAAAAAAGUUGAUCUCAUAGAAGCAGAGAGUAGAACACUUACCAGAGGUGGAACUUUAUAGGCGUUGUUACAACCAAGACUCAGAUUGCUCCGCUUCCCAGGUUCACACUAUUCUCCUGCUUCAGCCUCCCAAGUAGCUGGGAUUACAGGUGCCCACCACAAUGCCCGGCUAAUUUUUUCUAUUUUUUAGUAGAGACAGGGUUUCACCGUGUUAGCCAGGAUGGUCUCGAUCUCCUGACCUCGUGAUCCGCCCGCCUCAGCCUCCCAAAGUGCUGGGAUUACAGGCUUGAGCCACUGCUCCCGG
rnacentral:lncRNA from 1 species